rnacentral:rRNA from 1 species
AUUUUGGAGAGUUUGAUCCUGGCUCAGAGUGAACGCUGGCGGCGUGGAUUAGGCAUGCAAGUCGAGCGAUCUUUAAGUUGACUUUGUGUUGAACCGCAAGGGGAUAUGCAGAGUUGUCUUUUCGAUAGCGGCAAACGGGUGAGUAACACGUGAGUAAUCUGCCCUUAAAUCAAGCAUAGCUUCGUGAAAACGAAGGUAAUACUUGAUAACACCCCACCUUCGCAUGAAGGAGGGAUUAAAGACAGGGACCGCAAGGCCUGUCGUUUAGGGAUGAGCUCGCGUCCUAUCAGCUUGUUGGUGAGGUAACGGCCCACCAAGGCUUUUGCCGGGUAGCUGGUCUGAGAGGAUGGUCAGCCACACCGGGACUGAGACACUGCCCAGACUCCUACGGGAGGCUGCAGUCGAGAAUAUUUAGCAAUGGACGAAAGUCUGACUAUGCGACGCCGCGUGCAGGAUGAAGGUUUUCGGAUCGUAAACUGCUUUUGUUAGGAAAGAAUAUCUGCCGUUUAAUAGAUGGCGGACUGACGGUACCUAACGAAUAAGCCACGGCUAACUCCGUGCCAGCAGCCGCGGUAAUACGGGGGUGGCGAGCGUUGUCCGGAUUUACUAGGCGUAAAGGGCAGGUAGGCGGAUAGAUAAGUUAAUCGUUAAAGACCGGCGCUCACCGUCGGGAGAGCGGUUGAUACUGUUUAUCUGGAAGCGAGUGGGGGAAGACGGAAUUCCUGGUGUAGCGGUGGAAUGCGCAGAUAUCAGGAGGAACACCGAAGGCGAAGGCAGUCUUCUACGCUUGUCUUGACGCUAAACUGCGAAGGUGCGGGUAUCAAACAGGAUUAGAUACCCUGGUAGUCCGCACAGUAAACGAUAUUCACUAGGUGUUGGCGGGAUAGACCCGUCGGUGCCGUAGCUAACGCGAUAAGUGAAUCGCCUGGGGAGUACGAUCGCAAGGUUGAAACUCAAAGGAAUUGACGGGGGCCCGCA